GAUGAAGAACGUAGCGAAAUGCGAUAAGUAAUGUGAAUUGCAGAAUUCAGUGAAUCAUCGAAUCUUUGAACGCACAUUGCGCCCCCUGGUAUUCCGGGGGGCAUGCCUGUUCGAGCGUCAUUACAACCCUCAAGCUCUGCUUGGUAUUGGGCCCCGCCAGUUCUGGCGGGCCCUAAAGUCAGUGGCGGUGCCUUCCGGCUCCGAGCGUAGUAAUUCUUCUCGCUCUGGAGACCCGGUUGUGUGCUUGCCAACAACCCCCAAUGUUUUAAGGUUGACCUCGGAUCAGGUAGGGAUACCCGCUGAACUUAAGCAUAUCAAUAAGCGGAGGA
rnacentral:misc_RNA from 1 species